UACAGAGGGCGCGAGCGUUGUCCGGAAUCACUGGGCGUAAGGCGCGUAGGUGGCCACUAUAAGGCCCGCGGUGAAAGUUCGGGGCUCAACCCUGAAUCUGCCGCGGCGACUGUAGGGCUUGGGCACCGUAGAGGCAGAUGGAAUUCCGGGUGUAGCGGUGGAAAUGCGUAGAGAUCCGGAAGAACACCGGUGGCGAAGGCGGCUCAC
rnacentral:rRNA from 1 species